CGUCCUAUUAGCUAGUUGGUGAGGUAAUGGCUCACCAAGGCUACGAUGGGUAGGGGUUCUUAGUGGAAGGUCCCCCACACUGGCACUGAGAUACGGGCCAGACUCCUACGGGAGGCAGCAGUAGGGAAUAUUGGUCAAUGGGCGCAAGCCUGAACCAGCCAUGCCGCGUGCAGGAUGAAGGCUCUCUGAGUUGUAAACUGCUUUUGUACAGGAGCAAAAAAAUCCCUGCGGGGGUUCUUGAGAGUACUGUAAGAAUAAGCACCGGCUAAUUCCGUGCCAGCAGCCGCGGUAAUACGGGAGGUGCAAGCGCUAUCCGGUUUUAUUGGGUUUAAAGGGUGCGUAGGCGGCUUAUUAAGUCAGUUGUGAAAUCCUAGUGCUUAACGCUAGAACUACGAUUGAUACUAUU
rnacentral:rRNA from 1 species